rnacentral:rRNA from 1 species
UGGCGGACGGGUGAGUAACGCGUGGGUAACCUGCCCUGUACAGGGGGAUAACAGUUAGAAAUGACUGCUAACACCGCAUAAGCGCACGGUAAGGCAUCUUAGUGUGUGAAAAUAUUCAUAGGUACAGGAUGGGCCCGCGUCUGAUUAGCCAGUUGGCAGGGUAACGGCCUACCAAAGCGACGAUCAGUAGCCGGCUUGAGAGAGUGAACGGCCACAUUGGGACUGAGACACGGCCCAAACUCCUACGGGAGGCAGCAG